GACGUAGGGCGCGAGCGUUGUCCGGAUUUAUUGGGCGUAAAGAGCUCGUAGGCGGCUUGUCGCGUCGACUGUGAAAACCCGCGGCUCAACUGCGGGCCUGCAGCCGAUACGGGCAGGCUAGAGUUCGGUAGGGGAGACUGGAAUUCCUGGUGUAGCGGUGAAAUGCGCAGAUAUCAGGAGGAACACCGGUGGCGAAGGCGGCCAACUGGACAGAUACUGACGCUGAGACUCGAAAGCGUGGGGAGCAAACAGG
rnacentral:rRNA from 1 species